rnacentral:lncRNA from 1 species
CUUUUAAACAACCUACAGCCUCCCCCCACCACCAAAAAAAUAAUAAUAAAAAAUAGAUAACUAAACACUGAUAUCAACGUAUUUGCAAUGGGAAUCAACAAUAUAUAGAACAAAUCAAUAAACAAUUAAAACAAUAGAUAACUUAAAUGAACAUUGAAAAGGGGUAAAACAGGAAAAUAAAAAAAAUUAGUUUAAAUAGAGAUGCUGAUGAGAGAGAUGGCAGCGACACGGCGGCGGUGGCGAUGGAGGGAGAACGAUGAGAGAGAAACCACGGCCGCCAUGCAAUUCAUCUUCUUCAUUCCAGUGCAGUGGCGAUCUAUCACUUUCCCCCUAUGAGAGAUCUAUGUGCUUGUUCUUGUCCAUGUUCAUGUUCAUUAGAGCGAAGAGAAGAGAGAGAUGCUUUUUUUUUUCUGAGAGAGAGAGAGAGAGAGAGUAGAGUGAAUUCGUGAUGGUGCUUCGUGCUUGGGUGUGAGAGUGUGAGCUGACAGCUGAUCCAGCCAGAAGAGAGCGAAAAAUAAAUAAAUAAAUAAUUACAAAAUUUAUAUUUUUAAUGAAUGAAAAAUUUACAAUAAUAAUAAUAAUAAUAAUACUAAUAAUAAUAUCCUAUUUUUAUGUGAUGAUGACUAUUUAUAUGUUUCACAGUCGUGGAAUUUGCGGAGAGAUUUGCAUACCAAGGUUUGGCGAGCAAUCUUAUCACAUAUCUCACAA